rnacentral:rRNA from 1 species
AGAGUUUGAUCCUGGCUCAGGAUGAACGCUAGCUACAGGCUUAACACAUGCAAGUCGAGGGGCAGCGGGAUUGAAGCUUGCUUCAAUUGCCGGCGACCGGCGCACGGGUGAGUAACGCGUAUCCAACCUUCCGCUUACUCGGGGAUAGCCUUUCGAAAGAAAGAUUAAUACCCGAUGGUAUCUUAAGCACGCAUGAGAUUAAGAUUAAAGAUUUAUCGGUAAGCGAUGGGGAUGCGUUCCAUUAGGCAGUUGGCGGGGUAACGGCCCACCAAACCUACGAUGGAUAGGGGUUCUGAGAGGAAGGUCCCCCACAUUGGAACUGAGACACGGUCCAAACUCCUACGGGAGGCAGCAGUGAGGAAUAUUGGUCAAUGGGCGAGAGCCUGAACCAGCCAAGUAGCGUGAAGGAUGACGGCCCUACGGGUUGUAAACUUCUUUUGUGCGGGAAUAAAGGAACCUACGUGUAGGUUUUUGCAUGUACCGUAACGAAUAAGCAUCGGCUAACUCCGUGCCAGCAGCCGCGGUAAUACGGAGGAUGCGAGCGUUAUCCGGAUUUAUUGGGUUUAAAGGGAGCGUAGACGGGUUUUUAAGUCAGCUGUGAAAGUUUGGGGCUCAACCUUAAAAUUGCAGUUGAAACUGGAGACCUUGAGUACGGUUGAGGCAGGCGGAAUUCGUGGUGUAGCGGUGAAAUGCUUAGAUAUCACGAAGAACCCCGAUUGCGAAGGCAGCCUGCUAAGCCGCCACUGACGUUGAGGCUCGAAAGUGCGGGUAUCAAACAGGAUUAGAUACCCUGGUAGUCCGCACGGUAAACGAUGGAUACUCGCUGUUGGCGAUAGACUGUCAGCGGCCAAGCGAAAGCGUUAAGUAUCCCACCUGGGGAGUACGCCGGCAACGGUGAAACUCAAAGGAAUUGACGG